rnacentral:rRNA from 1 species
GGUCGGACGGCAGCACAGAGAAGCUUGCUUCUUGGGUGGCGAGUGGCGAACGGGUGAGUAAUGUAUCGGAACGUACCGAGUAGUGGGGGAUAACUAAUCGAAAGAUUAGCUAAUACCGCAUACGUCUUGAGAGAGAAAGCAGGGGAUCUUCGGACCUUGCGCUAUUCGAGCGGCCGAUAUCUGAUUAGCUAGUUGGUGGGGUAAAGGCCUACCAAGGCGACGAUCAGUAGCGGGUCUGAGAGGAUGAUCCGCCACACUGGGACUGAGACACGGCCCAGACUCCUACGGGAGGCAGCAGUGGGGAAUUUUGGACAAUGGGCGCAAGCCUGAUCCAGCCAUGCCGCGUGUCUGAAGAAGGCCUUCGGGUUGUAAAGGACUUUUGUCAGGGAAGAAAAGGCGACUGCUAAUAUCAGUUGCUGAUGACGGUACCUGAAGAAUAAGCACCGGCUAACUACGUGCCAGCAGCCGCGGUAAUACGUAGGGUGCGAGCGUUAAUCGGAAUUACUGGGCGUAAAGCGAGCGCAGACGGUUACUUAAGCAGGAUGUGAAAUCCCCGGGCUCAACCUGGGAACUGCGUUCUGAACUGGGUAGCUAGAGUGUGUCAGAGGGAGGUAGAAUUCCACGUGUAGCAGUGAAAUGCGUAGAGAUGUGGAGGAAUACCGAUGGCGAAGGCAGCCUCCUGGGAUAACACUGACGUUCAUGCUCGAAAGCGUGGGUAGCAAACAGGAUUAGAUACCCUGGUAGUCCACGCCCUAAACGAUGUCAAUUAGCUGUUGGGCAACUUGAUUGCUUAGUAGCGUAGCUAACGCGUGAAAUUGACCGCCUGGGGAGUACGGUCGCAAGAUUAAAACUCAAAGGAAUUGACGGGGACCCGCACAAGCGGUGG